rnacentral:lncRNA from 1 species
GGCUGCAUACGCCUAGAACUCAGCAUCAUCUUCAGAAUAAUGGUUGGUACUCGGCAAGGCCACAAGAAAUAACCAGAAUAAUGAUUUAAUAUCAACUUCAAGUAAAUUACUCAUGUGAGCAUUCAGGCCGCUUUUGACCGUCAACACACCUGAUAUAUCAGUUUUAGACAGUAUGCAGAGGUUGUACGCUUUCAUCACAAGUCACGUAAAAGUUCAGAAGAACUUUAGACCCAACCAUGCUGUGCAAAGUAGGCACUUAUCACACUACCGAUGUGUGAUUGCAUAGGGACGCUACGAGACCUUUACAAAGAUUCCCUAGUAAGGAUAGCUCGCUAAGGUUUCAUGAUCAGCACACUGCGUGAACCUCUCUCAAACUGCGAAGCUACCAUAGAGCAAAUCAGUUUGAGGGCCGGGCUAUACACCAACUACUGUCUCCCC